rnacentral:rRNA from 1 species
CGCGUGAGUGUGAAGGCUUUCGGGUCGUAAAGCUCUGUCAAGUGGGAAGAACCUGCUUUGUGCUAAUACCACGAAGCACUGACGGUACCACUGAAGGAAGCACCGGCUAACUCCGUGCCAGCAGCCGCGGUAAUACGGGGGGUGCUAGCGUUAUUCGGAAUCAUUGGGCGUAAAGGGCGCGUAGGCGGUCGCUUAAGUCAGAUGUGAAAGCCCUCGGCUUAACCGAGGAAGUGCAUUUGAUACUAAGUGACUUGAGUAUGGGAGAGGGAAGCGGAAUUCCUGGUGUAGCGGUGAAAUGCGUAGAUAUCAGGAGGAACACCGGUGGCGAAGGCGGCUUCCUGGACCAAUACUGACGCUGAGGCGCGAAGGCGUGGGGAGCAAACAGGAUUAGAUACCCUGGUAGUCCACGCAGUAAACGGUGACCUAGGUGUACGGGGUAUUGACCCUGCUGUGCCGAA